rnacentral:misc_RNA from 1 species
GUGAAAGUAGAGGUUGCGAAUAUGACCGACCAAGUAGACUUAGCUGCGAGUGCUCGCGAAUUCAAGUGUAUUAGCUGCGGAAACAAGACUGACCAACUUUAUCGUGAUUUCAAUUCCGGAAUUAUCAAGAUUGAGCAUUGCAAACAUUGCCAGAAGGUUGUGGAUAAAUACAUUGAGUCAGAGCCAGUGAUCAUUUGUUUGGAUUUUUUGCUGUUAAAACAGCAAGCCUUCCGCCAUGUUUUGUACAAUAGAAAAACUCAGGGACACUGGAAGUUAGUGGCCAUCCUACUACUCUGUGAUGCUUUUACAAAACUGUUGCUGGGGCGACCACACAGUACAGAGUCUUACCUGCGGCCUGAUUACAUGAUCUACUCUGCCUUAGAAUGGGGGCUUUAUAUUAACUUCAGUCUAGCAUUAAUAGAGUUAUUCAUUACCAUUUUGAUAAUCAUUGUAUGCAUCAGGACAAUUUCUACUGAGAAAUGCAGGCCAGGAGAGCUGAUGCGUGGAGUGCUGCUGUCAAACUUUGGUAAAAUCCUUGUGAUACCUGCAGUUCUGUGGGGGACGAACUACAGCCUUAUCUAUGUUUCUCUUAGUCGAAUGUUUGUAUGUGCCGCCAAUAUCCAAGCCAUCAGAGUUCUCAGUCCAGGCUGCCAUGUUUCCACUUGCAUCAUGUCAGUAGUGCUUGGACAUGUUGUUGCCAUGCUUUCAUCCAUCUGGAUACAAAACAUUCUUUCACAAGUCCCAGGGUGAAGAUCAUUAACAGAUAAAGACAAGGUGGUGCUGUUCUAUCGGAAGUUACAAGGUGGUGCUGUACUAUCACAUGCCAAGGUGGUGCUGUACUAUCACAUGACAAGGUGUUGCUGUACUAUCACAUGACAAGAUGGUGCUGUACUAUCGGAAGUUACAAGGUGGUGCUGUUCUACCACAAGACAAGUUGGUGCUGUACUAUCACAAGUGACAUGGUGGUGCUGUACUAUCACACAUAACAAGGUGGUGCUGUACUAUCACAAGACAAUGUGGUGCUGUGCUAUUAAAAAUGACAAGGUGAUGCUGUACUAUCACAAGUUACAAGGUGGUGCUGUACUAUCAUAAGACAAUCUGGUGAUGUACUACCACAAGUUAUAAGAUGGUACUGUACUAUCACAAGUUAUAAGGUGGUGCUGUACUAUCACAAGUUACAAGGUGGUGCUUUACUAUCACAAGUUACAAGGUGGUGCUGUACUAUCACAAGUUACAAGGUGGUGCUGUACUAUCACAAGUUACAAGGUGGUGCUGUACUAUCACAAGUUACAAGGUGGUGCUGUACUAUCACAAGUUACAAGGUGGUGCUGUACUAUCACAAGUUACAAGGUGGUGCUUGACUACCACAAGUUACAAGGUGUUGCUGUACUACCACAGGACAAGAUGGUGCUGUACUAUCACAAGUUAUAAGAUGGUACUGUACUAUCACAAGUUAUAAGGUGGUGCUGUACUAUCACAAGUUACAAGGUGGUGCUGUACUAUCACAAGUUACAAGGUGGUGCUGUACUAUCACAAGUUACAAGGUGGUGCUGUACUAUCACAAGUUACAAGGUGGUGCUGUACUAUCACAAGUUACAAGGUGGUGCUGUACUAUCACAAGUUACAAGGUGGUGCUGUACUAUCACAAGUUACAAGGUGGUGCUGUACUAUCACAAGUUACAAGGUGGUGCUGUACUAUCACAAGUUACAAGGUGGUGCUGUACUAUCACAAGUUACAAGGUGGUGCUGUACUAUCACAAGUUACAAGGUGGUGCUGUACUAUCACAAGUUACAAGGUGGUGCUGUACUAUCACAAGUUACAAGGUGGUGCUUUACUACCACAAGUUACAAGGUGUUGCUGUACUACCACAGGACAAGAUGGUGCUGUACUAUCACAAGUUAUAAGAUGGUACUGUACUAUCACAAGUUAUAAGGUGGUGCUGUACUAUCACAAGUUACAAGGUGGUGCUUUACUAUCACAAGUUACAAGGUGGUGCUGUACUAUCACAAGUUACAUGGUUUUGCUGUACUAUCACAAGUUAAAAGGUGGUGCUUUACCAUCACAAGUUACAAGGUGGUGUUUUACUAUCACAAGUUACAAGGUGGUGCUGUACUACCACAAGUUACAAGUUGGUGCUGUACUAUCACAAGACAUGGUGGUGCUAUACUAUCAGAAGUGACAAGGUAGUGCUGUACUAUCACAAGACAUGGUGGUGCUGUACUAUCAGAAGUGACAAGGUAGUGCUGUACUAUCACAAGACAUGGUGGUGCUGUACUAUCAGAAGUGACAAGGUAGUGCUGUACUAUCACAAGACAUGGUGGUGCUAUACUAUCAGAAGUGACAAGGUAGUGCUGUACUAUCACAAGACAUGGUGGUGCUGUACUAUCAGAAGUGACAAGGUAGUGCUGUACUAUCACAAGACAUGGUGGUGCUAUACUAUCAGAAGUGACAAGGUAGUGCUGUACUAUCACAAGACAUGGUGGUGCUGUACUAUCAGAAGUGACAAGGUAGUGCUGUACUACCACAUGACAAGGUGUUGCUGUACUACCACAGGACAAGAUGGUGCUGUACUAUCACAAGUUAUAAGAUGGUGCUGUACUAUCACAAGUUAUAAGUUGGUGAUGUACUAUCACAAGUUAUAAGGUAGUGCUGUACUAUCACAAGACAUGGUGGUGCUGUACUAUCAGAAGUGACAAGGUAGUGCUGUACUACCACAUGACAAGGUGGUGCUGUUACUAACAGAAGUGACAAUGUGGUGAUGUACUAAAACAAGACAAUGUGGUGAUGUACUAAAACAAGACAAGGUGGUGAUGUACUAAAACAAGACAAGGUGGUGAUGUACUAAAAUAAAACAUAGUGGUACUGUACUUAAACAAUACAUGGUGGUGCUGUACUAAAACAAGACAAUGGGGUGAUGUACUAAAACAAGACAAGGUGGUGAUGUACUAAAACAAGACAAGGUGGUGCUGUACUAAAACAAGACAAGGUGGUGCUGUACUAAAACAAGACAAAGUGGUGAUGUACUAAAACAAGACAAUGUGGUGAUGUACUAAAAUAAGACAAUGUGGUGAUGUACUAAAAUAAGACAAAGUGGUGAUGUACUAAAACAAGACAAGGUGGUGCUGUACUAAAACAAGACAAGGUGGUGCUGAUAACAUCAGCCUGUAACACUAACAUGGUUUGUGCUAGUCCAGUAGUUGAUUGGUAUGAUGUCAGCCUUGAAAAAGAACAUUGCACUUUCAUCAAGAGAGGGAAACACGGUGUUAUAUCUCCGUCAUGUGAUAAAUGUAAUCCAAUCAGACACACUGUUAUAUAAAUGAGGUGUAUUAAUACUAUGUAUUCUUAAAGAGGAUUGACUCUCUUCAUGUCUGAAGUAUAUUAUACCUCACAAAAUAGAGAUCAUUAGACGUGCUUCAACACUUCAAAAAGUCAAUGUAUUAAUUAUGGUUUGGAAUUAAACCUCGAACAUUAUUUUGA